rnacentral:rRNA from 1 species
AUUGAACGCUGGCGGCAGGCCUAACACAUGCAAGUCGAACGGUAACAGGGAUCCGCUUGCUGAUUCGCUGACGAGUGGCGGACGGGUGAGUAAUGUCUGGGAAACUGCCUGAUGGAGGGGGAUAACUACUGGAAACGGUAGCUAAUACCGCAUAACGUCGCAAGACCAAAGAGGGGGACCUUCGGGCCUCUUGCCAUCGGAUGUGCCCAGAUGGGAUUAGCUAGUAGGUGGGGUAACGGCUCACCUAGGCGACGAUCCCUAGCUGGUCUGAGAGGGUGACCAGCCACACUGGAACUGAGACACGGUCCAGACUCCUACGGGAGGCAGCAGUGGGGAAUAUUGCACAAUGGGCGCAAGCCUGAUGCAGCCAUGCCGCGUGUAUGAAGAAGGCCUUCGGGUUGUAAAGUACUUUCAGCGGGGAGGAAGGGAGUAAAGUUAAUACCUUUGCUCAUUGACGUUACCCGCAGAAGAAGCACCGGCUAACUCCGUG